GUUACACAUGAGUUUAUAAUUGAGAACCAAUGAAUUUCCAAAUGAUGAGGUAGUGACGAGGACUGGGAGUACUUAUCCAUCCUAUUCUCAAAUGGGGUGGUUGUCUCCUUCCAUUUUACAGUGUAUAGAAAUUCGACAUCAACUUCCUUAUCCUCUGUGAGAUCAACAAGGGCAUUGGGGUCUGUUCUGACAUUUAUUUCAAUAACACGAUCCUUGUUAUAAAAUAUAUCAAAAUGGAUAUGCUUGUAUAGGUAAUAUUUGAAAUCACUUGGUUCUUUUCCUUCCUUGUCAACCUUCCCUAUGAAACCCCAAAUUGGCAAA
rnacentral:misc_RNA from 1 species